ACAAUACGAUUCCUGCACCAAAAGCGGGCUAACGGAUAGGGCCACGUAGCCCGUUAGUGCAUUGGCCGUCCGAUCCGGCGAACUCGCAACCGUGUCCGUUCGAUUGCGAAUCGGUCUGGUUCCUGCCUGUUUCUUUGUCAACCCGAAACCUCGAGAACUGUCUCGGGCUUCGUCGCGCAUCCCCGGCAGCAUGGCUCCUGGCCCCAACUCGCGGCGACCGGCGAGCUCCACGCUCCAGAUCUCGCCAGGCGCCAGCGCCGCCGGUCUUCCCACGCCACUCGGCUGCCUCCCCGACGCGCCGGCCCCGGCCGCUGCGGCGCUGCCGCCUCCGCCCUGGCCACCUCCCUGAAGUGCCUCCCCGCCCCCGCCGACUCCCCGACCGCCCGACGUACCUCCCCAGCCGGCCCCAACGUGCAUCCGCCCCGGCUGACUCCCCCCAUGAGAUAUUGAAACAGGUUGGGCAUCAAGAAACAUCCACUCGAUGCACUGCUCACAAACUUUGAAGGGUACGGCCAGCUAUUCAGACUUCAUCUGGAGACCACGAAGAUUAGUAGCUAUCUUCUUUGCCCUUUUAUUUUCUUUUGCAACAAUUUUUGGGAUUUAGGUACCUUCAAAAUAACAUAAUUUUUUUUACAAACUAUGUCCAUUGACACUGUUACCUUUGGUAGAAGUGAUUACUACUCACAUAGUCAAGUACCAUUUGUCAGGAGAGCAAGUGAAUGUUCUCAUCUCUGUUGCCUACGACGAUGAUGUGCACCAUAUGAUUGAUGAGUGCCUUGUCCUAGAAGAAAGCAAAGAACGGCCAACUAUAUACCUAUCUACUGAUGAAGAUGAUGAGCACCAUGUACAUUUUGUG